rnacentral:rRNA from 1 species
UAAGGAAUAUUGGUCAAUGGACGCAAGUCUGAACCAGCCAUGCCGCGUGAAGGAUGAAGGUCCUCUGGAUUGUAAACUUCUUUUAUCUGGGACGAAAACGGGAUUUUUAUCUCAAUUGACGGUACCAGAGGAAUAAGCACCGGCUAACUCCGUGCCAGCAGCCGCGGUAAUACGGAGGGUGCGAGCGUUAUCCGGAUUUACUGGGUUUAAAGGGUGCGUAGGUGGGCUUAUAAGUCAGUGGUGAAAUCUCCGAGCUUAACUUGGAAACUGCCGUUGAUACUAUAGGUCUUGAAUUAUCUGGAGGUAAGCGGAAUAUGUCAUGUAGCGGUGAAAUGCUUAGAUAUGACAUAGAGCACCAAUUGCGAAGGCAGCUUACUACAUAUAAAUUGACGCUGAGGCACGAAAGCGUGGGGAUCAAACA